rnacentral:lncRNA from 1 species
CGGCAACAACAACAAGGGCAGCCAGUCUGUGGAUGCCCUGCACUGGUCCACCGCGUGGCCAACGCCACGGCCACCGAGGUUCGAGCCAAACACAACCAUUUUAUCUCCCUCGGUUACUACGGCGACCACACUGGCCUGAGCUGCUUCAGUCCUGUGCUAAACAUCAUGAGGCAUCCACUCUGGGGCAGGAACCAGGAGACGUACGGGGAGGACCCCUUCCUGACCGGAGAGCUGGCUGUGGCGUUUGUGACGGGGCUGCAGGGGGACCACCCCCGGUACGUCAAGGCCAGUGCUGGCUGCAAGCACUUCGAUGCCCAUGGGGGACCGGAGAAUAUUCCCUCGUCCCGGCUGUCGUUUAAUGCCAAGGUGGAGGAGCGCGACUGGCGCAUGACCUUUCUGCCCCAGUUCGAAGCUUGCGUCCGAGCAGGAACCCUCAGCUUCAUGUGCAGCUACAACAGGUGAGUCGUCCCCAGCUCUGCCCCAANUCUGGGAGGGAACGGGGU